GACGAACGCUGGCGGCGUGCUUAACACAUGCAAGUCGAGCGAUGAAAUCCCUUCGGGGAUGGAUUAGCGGCGGACGGGAGAGUAACACGUGGGUAACCUGCCUCAAAGAGGGGGAUAGCCUCCUGAAAGGGAGAUUAAUACCGCAUAACAUUAGUUUUUCGCAUGGAGAACUAAUUAAAGGAGUAAUCCGCUUUGAGAUGGACCCGCGGCGCAUUAGCUAGUUGGUGAGGUAACGGCUCACCAAGGCGACGAUGCGUAGCCGACCUGAGAGGGUGAUCGGCAACAUUGGAACUGGGACACGGUCCAGACUCCUACGGGAGGCAGCAGUGGGGAAUAUUGCACAAUGGGCGAAAGCUUGAUGCAGCAACGCCGCGUGAGUGAUGAAGGCCUUCGGGUUGUAAAGCUCUGUCUUUUGGGACGAUAAUGACGGUACCAAAGGAGGAAGCCACGGCUAACUACGUGCCAGCAGCCGCGGUAA
rnacentral:rRNA from 1 species